AACGAACGCUGGCGGCAGGCUUAACACAUGCAAGUCGAGCGCCCCGCAAGGGGAGCGGCAGGCGGGUGAGUAACGCGUGGGAAUCUACCCAUCUCUACGGAAUAACGCAUGGAAACGUGUGCUAAUACCGUAUACGUCCUUCGGGAGAAAGAUUUAUCGGAGAUGGAUGAGCCCGCGUUGGAUUAGCUAGUUGGUGGGGUAAAGGCCUACCAAGGCGACGAUCCAUAGCUGGUCUGAGAGGAUGAUCAGCCACACUGGGACUGAGACACGGCCCAGACUUCUACGGGAGGCAGCAGUGGGGAAUAUUGGACAAUGGGCGCAAGCCUGAUCCAGCCAUGCCGUGUGAGUGACGAAGGCCCUAGGGUUGUAAAGCUCUUUCACCGGUGAAGAUAAUGACGGUAACCGGAGAAGAAGCCCCGGCUAACUUCGUGCCAGCCGCCGCCGUAAGAC
rnacentral:rRNA from 1 species